UCAAAGACACUUGCAGGCGACAUAUCGGGAGUACACCCAGGAAGUAGGUAAAAUGGAUUAUCACACCAGAAAAUAGUCGGAAGAGUAAAUGGAUUAUUGUUCUGGAUUCUGGCAUUGUUGCUUUGAAUUGUGUUACGUCCAAUGUGAUGUAUUCUAUAUAAUCCACGCUCAAUUUUACGUGUUUUGUGUUGAUUAAUCGAGAACAAGGCCACUGGUGUAGACAAAGAUCUACAUUACUUUGGAAUGAUUGAAGGAAGAAAUUACCGAUCUCUACAGACUUAGCAAGAAAACUUACAACUAAACUCGCGACAAUGAGCAGUUUCUGAGAGAACGCGUUUUAUGUGCAUUCAACUGAACAGGGCUUUGUACAAAUGGCCGCUGCUAGGCAACGAUCUGCAUUAUUUGGGAAAAUUUCGAAUUAUUCAGAUUCGGAACUGCCCACUCAAUUCAUCAUAUUCUAGUUGAAGUUAUGAAUAUGGGAUGGAAACCCGAGAUUUUAAUCGGUGUACACUUCUGUCAACUGGGUUAUUGUACAUCUGCCAAGCGUGAGGAAUGCGCUUCCCAUCUUUCCAGUUUGGCCUAGGCAAAUCAAUUUAUUAGUGAACCAUGGUGAAAUUGUUGGCAUGGAUUCUGAACCUAAGCUUUCAAGGUGACAUGUUUUAUCAUAGUUUGAAACGCGAAAACAUUUUUGCCAAAUUUUAUAGGCAUUGCAGGUAUACCCAUUUAAUCGAUGUUCAAUCGAUGUUGCGUGAGCAAUGCGCUUAAAAUGUUUCAAGUUCGGCAUAGCCAAAUCAAUUUGUUACAACCUUGGUAAAGCUGUUUGUAUGUAUUUUGAACUUAAGAUUUCAAGCUGACAUGCCAUCAUAGCGAAAGCCAAAUUUAGUAGACAUUGCAGGUAGGCAUUUAAUCAAUGUUGCGUGCGAGCAAUGCAUCUUUUAGGUUCGGCCUAGCCAAAGCAAUUUAUUCCAACUUUGGUAAAGCUGUUGGCGUGUAUUUCAAACCUAACAAAUCAAGCUGACAUGUUAUCAUAGUUUAAUUAAAACGCAAAACGUUUCAGCCAAAUUUGGGAGGCAUUGCUCAGGCCAUGUGCGUAAAUAUAGCUAAUUGAUUGAACGCUUUUGCGUGAAAAUGUUUAAUGUUUCAAUGGAGAAAUGUGCUUUGCAAUAAACGUAAUGUUCAAAGUAAGAAGAAUGGUUUAAAUAGAAGAAUUCGCAAAAUUGAGUUUGUAGUUUCUGAGAAAAACGCUGUAUGAUUUGUAUACAAUUUCGAUCCUUCUACCAAUUUGCUAAUAUUGAACACAAAAUGUUUGUUGGGUCUGUUGUAAAAUUGUUGUUGUUGACGUAUAUAGGUUUUAGCUGUUUAAAAAUGAUUCUACGUCCUAUGACACUGGGUACAACUAUUUUAACAUUCCAUAUGACAUUCGGUACUUUUUUCAUCAUUUAGCAGGAAUUUUUAUGAUUUUCAUAGUGCUUUGUUGACAAAAUAAGUUUCGCUUUAUGAAUUUGCUAAUAUGGUACACCAAAUGGUAUUUUGAUAAUUUUGAAAAAUUGUUGUCGUUGAUGUGUAUAUUUCUAGCUGUUAAAAAUGAUUCUACGUCAUAUGACACUCGGUACAGCUAUUUUACCAUUUGCAAUAAUGCUUUGUUAGCAAAAAUAUGUUUGGUCGUUUUGUAAAAAUAUUGUUGUUGUUGAAGUAUUUAGGUGCUUGUUGUUGUUGUUGAAAAUUAAUGCCUAAUUAGAUUCACAUUUACAGUAAUUGAAAAUGAAAGUAGCAACUAUAGGGCUUUAAAUUUUUUUUAUUUUAAAUCACCCGAGUCCUAAAGAGG